UCCAAGGCCAAUACAUGCACCGCUUCGCAGAUCUCUCUGACUCUUUAAGCUGUCACCUCACACCGCUUCACCAGUGACCAAGAUGACACUAAUAAUUGUUUCAUAUGAAGCAACAUGACAUGAACAACCCUGCCUCCUUUAAAGCCUAAAGAGGCUAAUCUUGUCUUGCUGUCAUCACCGUUGUUGACUCUCUGACAUCUAUUUGCCUCAGAAAAUCAGCAUCAACCAGUUGGCUUGUUAACAGGCAUCUAACUUUAUCUAACCAAUGAGAAGUGAGUGACCAUCACACUGAGGUAUUCCUCUUCUUCUAGAUGUUGUCAAGGACGCCUGGAGAUAAAAGUAACAGAAUUGCGCAGAACCCAAAGGUCACAGAGAAGCAAAGAAAGUGCUGAGGAAUUGCGAUAACGCACCUGGAGCCCAUUCUGGCUCCGCACUUCUCAUCGUGUAAUGCAUUUACUAUUGUUUCAGCCAGUUUGAAUAAGAGUUUGUCGUUGCUUGAAGGGAAAGGAGAAUCAAUCAAAGACAGCAGAAAGAAUUUAAAGGAGGGUUUUGUUUAUCCCAGUACUUCAAAAGAGAAACCUGAAGAAAACAUUUCAAAGGCAUCCUAGCCAGGAACUCCACCUUUGUCCAGAAGGCUGAGGGCCUCUGUGUUGGUCCUUAUCAAAAUAUACUAUCCUUGUUGACAAAAUCCCCAGGAGGCUGGAUCCUGAAUUAUGUCCUCACUGGGCCCCUACACACCCAACUGAAAAAGGGAAGAGGAAGGAACAUUCAUAAUGGCUCUCUGGAUUUGGGAUUUCUUCUCUUUCUUUGUUAAAGCAUCAGAACACUUUAUCAAAAGAAGUCGUGCCAGGAAGUUCAAAAGUAAAACAAAUAAAAGGACAUAUGUGGAGGUGCUUUCCACUUUGCAGAUGGUAGUGAGAGGGAGGGGCCAGGAAGCUGACUUUGUGCUUGUUCCUACUGUCUGAGUUGUCUCUUCAAAAUAAUCACUCUCAUUAUUUUAAUUUAGAUCGUACAGGAAAGCUUUCCCACAUUUUGCUACGUCUUACAUCAAAUCUAAUCACAAUGUCCAGGUUAGUUCUGAUUUUAUGCGAGAGUGUGACAGAUUGGUGCCCUGGUGCGGCGGGUACAAGUGGAACAAAAUUACAGUUAUAUUUUUUGGAUGAAAACUAUAUAUGAACACAUGGUGCUUAAAAUGACAAAAAAAAAAAAAAAAAAAGUGGAAGAAAGGGUUCUUUCCCACUAACCCAGCACGGUGACCACGCAAUUACAAUAUGAUGUCAAAACAAGAGCAGUAAGUCCAGAGCACUGAGCUGAUGCAAAUGAAGGCAAUUCAGCACAAGGGCAUUUUCUAAGAAAGGCUUUGGGGGAGACAAGGGAGUACUCCUGGUCCAGGCUUGAAAUUGUCAGAAUAGAACGGAGCUCUUACAAAGAUCUGCGAUAUU